GCCAACGUGUAAAUGGACGCUUUUUUUCUUCUUCUUUCUUUUAAGUUUCGUUUCUAAACGAAACUUGACUAGAACCGACGGGCGACACUGGCCACCAGCAGCCUUUAUAUAAAGCUGACGGAUACAGUAUCGCUAUUUAUUUGGAACAUCUCUACCUUUCACUGCGAUGACCGAGAAAGUUGGCUGCUAAUCAGGGAUAGUGCAGAUAUGUUUGCCUGAAUCCAUCCCAUACAGUGGAAAAACUGGUUCCUAUGAAAAAUAGGAAAGGAAAUGAGAAAACGACCCUGGAAUGAUGAGUGUAAAAGCAAAGAAGAAAGCUCGGACUUCUUUCGGGGCCACAGCCCCGCCCUUCAUUGACUACCUGAAAGAUAUUCUACGUCGAUAUCCAGAUGGUGGACAAAUUCUGAAGGAGCUGAUUCAAAAUGCAGAUGAUGCUCGAGCUACAGAAGUGGUAUUUAUCCAUGAUGAGAGAAGCUAUGGGACUGAGAGCAUUUGGACUGAAGAACUGGGAAAAUACCAAGGU